GAGUCUGAGAAGUAGGAAUCCUUUUGGGGACAUAGAUGAUGACAAUAACAAUAACUGAGAUUUAUGGAGUACUUCCUGAUACAUUAUCCCAGUGGAACCUCAUAACAGCCCUCUGAGAUUUAUAUUCCCUGGCUCCAGGAUAAUAGAAGCUGGCUCCUUGACCAGGAGAAGGUUUGAGCUGGGACUGGCACAAGGAGGAAGAGAAUAGAUUGAUAUAGAAGGGUGAAGAUAAAUGGCUGCUUAAUCUCAUAGGUCAUUCCGGACUCCCGAUGCCGCCAGUCCCUCGGUGAGACGUGAGCGCCAUUGGCGUCCGUGGCCUCUGUUUCCGUGGCAACCCAGUAACCAUUAAUUUUCAAUUAAAGGAGACAAAAAGCCCGAUGACAGCUCCGGGUCUGCUGAAGAUGUCAAGAAUCCGUAUUAAUAUACAGCAAGAGAGCAUAAUUGUGUGUCCAUCUUCCAGAGCAGCGAAAAAUGGGGGGAUAAUUACCAGCUGGAAAGCCACUCUGUAAUUUAGUUCUUACUGUCACCACAGCCCCACACAUUAGCAUAAAUUAAAAGCAGAGUUUAUUGUUAUCAAA